ACCCAUGUGAACAUACCCUACGUUGCCUCGGCAGGUCGCGCCUACCCGGUUCGGGCCUUACCCUGUAAGGUAGAGUCGCUCGCUCGCUGGAGAUAGAUCUUAUAACUAAAUAAGUUAAAACUUUCAACAACGGAUCUCUUGGUUCUGGCAUCGAUGAAGAACGCAGCGAAAUGCGAUAAGUAAUGUGAAUUGCAGAAUUCAGUGAAUCAUCGAAUCUUUGAACGCACAUUGCGCCCAUUAGUAUUCUAGUGGGCAUGCCUGUUCGAGCGUCAUUUCAACCCUUAAGCCUGUGUCGCUUAGUGUUGGGAGCCUACAGCCCCCUGGGCUGUAGCUCCUCAAAGUUAGUGGCGGAGUCGGUUUCAAACUCUAGGCGCAGUAAUUCUUUUCUCGUCUGCAGUUGGGCCGGUCCCCUGCCGUAAAACCCCUAAUUCUUUUUUUAAAGGUUGACCUCGGAUCAGGUAGGAAUACCCGCUGAACUUAAGAUGAUCGCAUGGCUCCGUAGAUGAUGCUCGUCGCUGAUGAAUCGCUGCUGAUAGUCGCUCGUAGUAGCUGCUCGUAGUAGCUCGUAGAUAUGAUAUGAGAUGGGUG
rnacentral:rRNA from 1 species